GGGUUGUGAGGUUAAGCGACUAAGCGUACACGGUGGAUGCCCUGGCAGUCAGAGGCGAUGAAGGACGUGCUAAUCUGCGAUAAGCGUCGGUAAGGUGAUAUGAACCGUUAUAACCGGCGAUUUCCGAAUGGGGAAACCCAGUGUGUUUCGACACACUAUCAUUAACUGAAUCCAUAGGUUAAUGAGGCGAACCGGGGGAACUGAAACAUCUAAGUACCCCGAGGAAAAGAAAUCAACCGAGAUUCCCCCAGUAGCGGCGAGCGAACGGGGAGCAGCCCAGAGCCUGAAUCAGUGUGUGUGUUAGUGGAAGCGUCUGGAAAGGCGCGCGAUACAGGGUGACAGCCCCGUACACAAAAAUGCACAUGCUGUGAGCUCGAUGAGUAGGGCGGGACACGUGGUAUCCUGUCUGAAUAUGGGGGGACCAUCCUCCAAGGCUAAAUACUCCUGACUGACCGAUAGUGAACCAGUACCGUGAGGGAAAGGCGAAAAGAACCCCGGCGAGGGGAGUGAAAAAGAACCUGAAACCGUGUACGUACAAGCAGUGGGAGCACGCUUAGGCGUGUGACUGCGUACCUUUUGUAUAAUGGGUCAGCGACUUAUAUUCUGUAGCAAGGUUAACCGAAUAGGGGAGCCGAAGGGAAACCGAGUCUUAACUGGGCGUUAAGUUGCAGGGUAUAGACCCGAAACCCGGUGAUCUAGCCAUGGGCAGGUUGAAGGUUGGGUAACACUAACUGGAGGACCGAACCGACUAAUGUUGAAAAAUUAGCGGAUGACUUGUGGCUGGGGGUGAAAGGCCAAUCAAACCGGGAGAUAGCUGGUUCUCCCCGAAAGCUAUUUAGGUAGCGCCUCGUGAAUUCAUCUCCGGGGGUAGAGCACUGUUUCGGCAAGGGGGUCAUCCCGACUUACCAACCCGAUGCAAACUGCGAAUACCGGAGAAUGUUAUCACGGGAGACACACGGCGGGUGCUAACGUCCGUCGUGAAGAGGGAAACAACCCAGACCGCCAGCUAAGGUCCCAAAGUCAUGGUUAAGUGGGAAACGAUGUGGGAAGGCCCAGACAGCCAGGAUGUUGGCUUAGAAGCAGCCAUCAUUUAAAGAAAGCGUAAUAGCUCACUGGUCGAGUCGGCCUGCGCGGAAGAUGUAACGGGGCUAAACCAUGCACCGAAGCUGCGGCAGCGACGCUUAUGCGUUGUUGGGUAGGGGAGCGUUCUGUAAGCCUGCGAAGGUGUGCUGUGAGGCAUGCUGGAGGUAUCAGAAGUGCGAAUGCUGACAUAAGUAACGAUAAAGCGGGUGAAAAGCCCGCUCGCCGGAAGACCAAGGGUUCCUGUCCAACGUUAAUCGGGGCAGGGUGAGUCGACCCCUAAGGCGAGGCCGAAAGGCGUAGUCGAUGGGAAACAGGUUAAUAUUCCUGUACUUGGUGUUACUGCGAAGGGGGGACGGAGAAGGCUAUGUUGGCCGGGCGACGGUUGUCCCGGUUUAAGCGUGUAGGCUGGUUUUCCAGGCAAAUCCGGAAAAUCAAGGCUGAGGCGUGAUGACGAGGCACUACGGUGCUGAAGCAACAAAUGCCCUGCUUCCAGGAAAAGCCUCUAAGCAUCAGGUAACAUCAAAUCGUACCCCAAACCGACACAGGUGGUCAGGUAGAGAAUACCAAGGCGCUUGAGAGAACUCGGGUGAAGGAACUAGGCAAAAUGGUGCCGUAACUUCGGGAGAAGGCACGCUGAUAUGUAGGUGAAGCGACUUGCUCGUGGAGCUGAAAUCAGUCGAAGAUACCAGCUGGCUGCAACUGUUUAUUAAAAACACAGCACUGUGCAAACACGAAAGUGGACGUAUACGGUGUGACGCCUGCCCGGUGCCGGAAGGUUAAUUGAUGGGGUCAGCGCAAGCGAAGCUCUUGAUCGAAGCCCCGGUAAACGGCGGCCGUAACUAUAACGGUCCUAAGGUAGCGAAAUUCCUUGUCGGGUAAGUUCCGACCUGCACGAAUGGCGUAAUGAUGGCCAGGCUGUCUCCACCCGAGACUCAGUGAAAUUGAACUCGCUGUGAAGAUGCAGUGUACCCGCGGCAAGACGGAAAGACCCCGUGAACCUUUACUAUAGCUUGACACUGAACAUUGAGCCUUGAUGUGUAGGAUAGGUGGGAGGCUUAGAAGUGUGGACGCCAGUCUGCAUGGAGCCGACCUUGAAAUACCACCCUUUAAUGUUUGAUGUUCUAACGUUGACCCGUAAUCCGGGUUGCGGACAGUGUCUGGUGGGUAGUUUGACUGGGGCGGUCUCCUCCUAAAGAGUAACGGAGGAGCACGAAGGUUGGCUAAUCCUGGUCGGACAUCAGGAGGUUAGUGCAAUGGCAUAAGCCAGCUUGACUGCGAGCGUGACGGCGCGAGCAGGUGCGAAAGCAGGUCAUAGUGAUCCGGUGGUUCUGAAUGGAAGGGCCAUCGCUCAACGGAUAAAAGGUACUCCGGGGAUAACAGGCUGAUACCGCCCAAGAGUUCAUAUCGACGGCGGUGUUUGGCACCUCGAUGUCGGCUCAUCACAUCCUGGGGCUGAAGUAGGUCCCAAGGGUAUGGCUGUUCGCCAUUUAAAGUGGUACGCGAGCUGGGUUUAGAACGUCGUGAGACAGUUCGGUCCCUAUCUGCCGUGGGCGCUGGAGAACUGAGGGGGGCUGCUCCUAGUACGAGAGGACCGGAGUGGACGCAUCACUGGUGUUCGGGUUGUCAUGCCAAUGGCACUGCCCGGUAGCUAAAUGCGGAAGAGAUAAGUGCUGAAAGCAUCUAAGCACGAAACUUGCCCCGAGAUGAGUUCUCCCUGACCCUUUAAGGGUCCUGAAGGAACGUUGAAGACGACGACGUUGAUAGGCCGGGUGUGUAAGCGCAGCGAUGCGUUGAGCUAACCGGUACUAAUGAACCGUGAGGCUUAACCUUACAACGCCGAAG
rnacentral:rRNA from 1 species